CAGCACGGCCAGUUUCACCUUCCCGAAUUUAUCUUGCUCUAUCCAGGGCUCCCGCACGACUUUGGCACCCCGUUCCUUGGCUUUCUGCAGAGGAGAUGGGCCCCGGGGGCGAGCCCAGCCGCCUGGCCCCGACUCCGAGCUGACACCUGCUGUUGUCUGCUGCGGGCCAUUUCAGCCCCAUCACGAGCUGUGCGGAACGAAAAUCAGGUGAAGCCGCUGCAUUCGAUGAGCUGGUUUGGGCCACCCGUCUGCGGAGCGGACGCUGUGAAAACGCACGGCUGCUGCCCGGCCGCCUGGUUGCCGCAGAUGUCCCCGAUGAAGGGUUUGCUUUCUGAUGGCACAAAUUAAAACCCAGCUGCUGAUCGGCUA